rnacentral:misc_RNA from 1 species
GAUAUUUCCCUGCCUUUCUGACGUAUUGUCGUCCGCGCCGCCGAACUGUUGGCGAAAUCCCCGUGUUGGCGCGCGGUCGAACGCCGCGUGGCUGUCGCUCGGAUUUCUGCCGGCUCUCGCGGAUGCGGUGCCUGUUGCUAGCUCUGCGGGGCUCUGCCCCGCAGACUUCGGGAGGUCCCUCGCGCGCGUCACUGCUCUCAUACGCCGUCUGUCGUGCUGCCGGUGGCGGCACGCAGAUCGUGUUCUGCCGCGUUGUAGCUAACGACGCGCCGGGACAGAGUGUCCGGAGCGUGCUCGCGUGCGUGCGGACUGCCUCUCGUUCGUAUGAGCAGCGAUUUCCGGCGCGCGUCGUGCGAAGGCACGCCCGUUCGGGCUGGCGCCGGAGCCGACGCGCCGGCUCUCGUUAAGACG